rnacentral:lncRNA from 1 species
AGUUUGCUGUGGUAAUUGCCUUGAAGUGUUCUGAUUGGAUUUGUACCUCUUCUCCCACAGAAGAUGCCAUGUUGUAGCAUAGGAGCCAAAUGCCAGGCUUAUUGGGCAGAUUCCAUGUGGAGAGCAGCCGUGGCCUUGAGGCUCUGUGCGGUGGUGAUACUGACUGUAGUCCCUGGCAGUUGCAGCAGGCAGGAAGCAGAGAGAGAAAUGUGAUGAGGCAGCUCUGGAGAGGAGGAGCCACAGGUGCACCCCUGCAUUGGGAAGAAGCCAUCAACAACUGCAGCAAAGAGACUAGAUAUAACCACACACUCCUGGGUUUGCUGGGGAAUUUAAGAAAAAUGCAGUCAGAAAUCAAAGGUGGAGUUCUAGGAGUCCUCCUGGAAAGAAGCUAGGGAGAGAAAUUCUGAUUGGCAUUUUUUUCCUUUAUAGCUCCACUUUUGUCCUGCUAAAAGCAGGAAUCAGAUCAAAUGUUAAGCAGAUGACAUUUGACAGUCGCAACGCAAUACUUUUUCUCAUUAUCACAUAACAUUCCCCUACUACACCAUUUAAAUCUCACUCUCACCCAGAAUAAUCACAGAUGAGUCAUGAGAAGUGAUAAAUAAAAAAUACGAUUUUUUAAGUCAAAUGUAAGUAUCAAACUAUAAAGACCCAGCAUGUAUAAAAUUUAAUUUUGCAAUUAAACUCCCAACAAUGUUUAUCUCAUACCACCCAUUAUGUGCACAGAUCUCAUUGUGAUGCUCAGAAAUUAAAGCAUGUAAGAUGUGUGGUUCAAGGAAAUGACUUUUUAAAGAAAGAAAACCCACUGAAAUUUCUUGAUUCCUGUUACUGAAAAAGUCAGAAGUAGGAGUAAUUACCAUGAAAAGGAAGUUAAAAAUGCUGGGACCCCAAAAGAACUAAGAUUUAGCCCAGGCUUCUCUUAGAUGGUACAGCUGGAAGAAAGUCCUAAAGAUCUUGCCAUACUUGCUACACUCAGGGUUUCUCUCCACUGUGGAUUCUCUGAUGCCAACAUUAUACAGAUUUAACAGCAAGAUCUCUUCUAUACUUAUUACCCUCAUGAGUCUUCUCCCCGGUGUGAAUUCUCUGAUGUAUAACCAACUUGGAACUAAUGGGGAAGCCAUUUCCACUCUUCUUGCAGAGUUAGGGUCUGUCCCUACUAUGGAUUCUCUGAUGCCUGAUCAGAUUGACUAUUAUUAUCAGCUCCCCCACACUCCUCACACUGAUAAGAUUUCUCUCCAGUAUGGGCUGAUGACAAAUCAAUGAAGAAUUGCCAUUAAAUGAUUUCCCACACUCCUUACAUGGAUAGUGUGGAUUCUCUGGCUUCUGACAUACUAAGAGGAAAAGCUGAUGCACCUUCCAUACUCCUCACAUCUGAAGGGUUUCCUUGCAUAGUAGCUUCUCUCUUUCUUUUCCUUUAAUAUUUUUUUUUUCUGUGGGGAUUCU